rnacentral:hammerhead_ribozyme from 1 species
UUCCAGCUGAUAGGUCCCAAAUAAAACGAAACGCGCGUCCCGGAU